AUCCAGCUGACGAGUUACAAAUAGAAUGAAACGCGUGUACUGGAU
rfam:Schistosoma curassoni strain Dakar, Senegal genome assembly, scaffold: SCTD_scaffold0002196